rnacentral:rRNA from 1 species
CAAUAGCGUAUAUUAAAACUGUUGCGGCUAAAAAAGCUCGUAGCUGGAUUUCUGCCAAGGACGACCGGUCCGCCCUCUGGGUGAGUGUCUGGCUUGGCCUGGGCAUCUCCUUGGAGAACGUAGCUGCACUUGACUGUGUGGUGCAAAAUCCACGCCUUUUACUUCGAGGAAAUUAUUAUGUUUCAAGCAGGCAUGCGCCUUGAAUACAUUAGCAUGAAUAAUAAGAUAGGACCUCGGUUCUAUUUUGUUGAUGUCUAGAUAUGGAGAGAUGAUUAAUGGGGAUAAAUGGGGCAUUCGUAUUUGACUGUCAGAAAUUACAUUCUUCGAUUUGUUAAGGACGACUCCUGCGAAAGCAUUUACCAAGGAUGUUUUCCAUUGAUCCAGAACGAGAGUUCGGGGAUCGAAGAUGAUUAGAUACCA